rnacentral:rRNA from 1 species
UACGGAGGGUGCAAGCGUUAUCCGGAAUCACUGGGCUUAAAGGGUGCGUAGGCGGGUCAGUAAGCGCUUUGUGAAAUCCCACAGCUCAACUGUGGAACCGCAGGGCGAACUGCUGAUCUUGAGGAAGCUAGAGGCUGGUAGAACGAUAGGUGGAGCGGUGGAAUGCGUAGAGAUCUAUCGGAAUGCCGAAAGUGAAGACAGCCAGCUGGGGCUUUCCUGACGCUAAAGCACGAAAGCGUGGGGAGCAAACCGG